AACGUAGGUACCGAGCGUUAUCCGGAUUUACUGGGCGUAAAGCGCGUUCAGGCGGUUUGGCAAGUCGGGCAUGAAAUCUCUCGGCUCAACCGGGAGAGGUUGUCCGAUACUUCCAGACUUGAGGGCAGUAGAGGAGGGUGGAAUUCCGGGUGUAGUGGUGAAAUGCGUAGAUAUCCGGAGGAACACCUGUGGCGAAAGCGGCCCUCUGGGCUGCUCCUGACGCUCAAACGCGAAAGCUAGGGGAG
rnacentral:rRNA from 1 species